rnacentral:sRNA from 1 species
CAAUUGGCAGAGUGUCGAAAUAUCUGAAAGAGUAAGAACGAAGGUGAAAGGAGGAUGGAAGAUCAGUCGUGUAUAUUAAAAUGGAAGAAAAUUAGGAUCGAAGUCAAGGACUAACGACGUGACAGAUGUAGUUGAUGGUUGGUGGAUACUCAAUCUUCACUCCUCUUUCAAAAUGGAGGGAAACUAAGAUGAAAGUGAACAGAAGUGGCGAAAGAGAGUUUCCGUUCACUAAAGAAACGGGGGUCCUUUGAGAGACAUUUCUUUCCAUCCUUUCCAGCUCAGCCUCAUUUACCUAACUUGGUACUAUAAACCAUACCGUUAGAGGUAAGUACUAAACGUGGAAAGGAAAACGACAAGGAAUUGCGUCAUAAAAAUACAUGUGAUAAUAAUACAAACCAGUUGGUCCCCUGACAAUAUUUGCUCAACUAUACAGUAAGCAAUUCUGUAGGCCAAUCUUUCUUUUUCAGCCACUCUCCAUGCUGCCCAAACUUUGGAUUGGACUUGAAAUGGAGACCAUCUCCUUGUGGGCUACCGAUCGGGACUACGAUGACAGUCAUUUUGGGUUUCCACUCAUCUCUGACAAAAACUCACGUAUCCACCCUAAAGGAGCGAUGCCCAUUUCUUGUUUCCAUCUGUCCAUUCUUGUACCAUAUCUCCAUCUUCCAUCGACUGGCGAUCCACCCCACUCUUCCUUCCACUUUUUUCGCACCUUACGUUUCUCCAUGUUGUGCCAAAAGUAGCCGUACUCCGUUUGAAGAAGGGCGUUCUCUCUCUCGUGUUGAUCGCGAGCUGCAAAGCUUUCCACAGUUGUUCGACCACUUAAAAUGAGCUGAAUGUGGGUGAGUAGCAUCACGACAGCGAACAGCCCAAAUAUAGCAGCUCUGCCGGAGGAAAUAUGUGCAAUCAUUUGCCCAUCCAUAUUAUUUGAUCUGGCUUCCGUGAUUAUAAGCAAAAUCAUGAUGUAGAAACAAUAGAGAGCAGUCCACAAAUUGAAUAUGAUGAAGAACUAAAUGGGCUAUCAGCGCCGCCGGUGCAUUCCAGCUCACUUUAUGAUUUGCCCAUCCGACACAUUGCCCGAUCCACAGGCAAUGAUCUACAAGUCAGCCCAUGGCAUAAUAUUAGAACCUACGAUCAAACUGCAUCACGCAUGUGCCACAAUGGCGACAGUGAUGUGUUCUGUCUGGCUUCACGAUCUCGCAAAAGCGACACCAUCUCGGAACGUAUUCAACGUGGGGUACAGGCCUUUGGACCUCACGCCAGUCUUUCAGGCCCUUCUUUUGUUUGUCUUUGGUCUCGGGAGGUGGCGCUUGACCCGUGAAAGGUGCAGAAGAUGAGUUGGGGUGCCAAUCUUCAACAGUCUGGGUUGCAAGAUUCAUAGUAGGUGCCCAUGUAGAAGGAUCAGGCCCUUGGUCUUGAUUGGGCUGUACGGUGUUGGGGUUAAUGGGGUAAGGUUGGGGAUAAUUGGCUGGGU